CGGCGGACGGGUGAGUAACGCGUGGGUAACCUGCCCUGUACACACGGAUAACAUACCGAAAGGUAUGCUAAUACGGGAUAACAUAAGAAAUUCACAUGUUUUUCUUAUCAAAGCUCCGGCGGUACAGGAUGGACCCGCGUCUGAUUAGCUAGUUGGUGAGGUAAUGGCUCACCAAGGCGACGAUCAGUAGCCGACCUGAGAGGGUGAUCGGCCACAUUGGAACUGAGACACGGUCCAA
rnacentral:rRNA from 1 species